CUACGGGCUGCACCAGUGAGGAAUAUUGCACAAUGGGGGGAACCCUGAUGCAGCAACGCCGCGUGGAGGAUGACGCAUUUCGGUGUGUAAACUCCUUUUAUAUGUCAAGAAAAUGACGGUAGCAUAUGAAUAAGCACCGGCUAACUCCGUGCCAGCAGCCGCGGUAAUACGGAGGGGUGCAAGCGUUACUCGGAAUCACUGGGCGUAAAGGACGCGUAGGCGGGUUGGAAAGUCAGGUGUGAAAUCCUACAGCUUAACUGUAGAACUGCACUUGAAACUUCUAAUCUAGAGUAUGGGAGGGGGAGAUAGAAUUAGUGGUGUAGGGGUAAAAUCCGUAGAUAUCACUAGGAAUACCUAAAGCGAAGGCGAUCUCCUGGAACAUUACUGACGCUAAGGCGUGAAAGCGUGGGGAGCAAACAGGAUUAGAUACCCUAGUAGUC
rnacentral:rRNA from 1 species